UCAAGCAGAGAGACCAGAGUAUGUGGAGUUAAAGUGUAACUUCUUGACAGGUAAUAAUUAAAAAGCUUCUUUCUAAAUCUCUUUCCCCUCUGCUGAAAACACCAAGGCUUGCUUUUGCAAUAGAUCGCAUUGAUCGCACUCUAUGCACUGAUCUGUCACCAGCCCCCAGCCCAGAUGCUCUUCUGCACUCACCAGCACCUUCCCCUCUUUUGGCUAGAUGGCUGCUCCAGGGCCGUUUCUGGGACCCACCAAAGAGGAAAACCAGAGAGUCAAAGGGGACCAACUAUCUCUCACACAGCUGGGUUGUGCAGACUGUACCUCUGAUUUUUGCCCUACGUUCACACUGUGGGGGAGUUUGGAAAGAAAAGAUAUGCAGGAAACCAAUUCACUGCCAUUGUUGGGGAGGAUCUCUGCCAAGAGGCCUCAAACUCUUCCCAGGGGCAGAACUAUCCAAAGCAAACCUUCAGCCUCGUCCUAGCAGCCGUGUUGAAAGUUUUAGGUGCUCUGAGUUACAUGAGGUCAUAAAUUAAUCUGCCAGAGGAGCGCGGCAAGCACCUGAUAUCAAGGGAGGGUCAGGAGCCGGCCAGCUCCAGCUGGCCCCACGUGUGAUUUACUCCAGGCUUUAAAGAUGUAUGCUGUGGUGUUUUGAUAAGAAUAAAAGAGUCAUCAGUUUGAUUUGGCAAUUUUUUUUUUUUUUACUCUUCUUUCUGAAGAGGGCUGCAGCUUUAGCUGUGGAAUUUGUUAUUGCUCUCAGGGUGCUUUUUAGCAGAGGCUCUCGGUCUGCAUGGGGCUAUUUCAUCCCUUUGCUGUUAGACUUAACUACGUUUCUGUCUCUAUGGAGCAAGUCAGACAACAGCACGCACUUCAGCUCCUCUCCUGCCUGCAGCAUCUCCUGAAGCACUCAGAAAAACCACAGCCCAGUUGUGCAGAUAAGAUUCUCUGCCUCGGCAAUGGCCCACCACUACGUCACAUUUCUGACCUCCUACCACAAGUCCUUGCCCUAUAGGUCACUCUCUUCCCCCGACAUCAUUCCAGUACAUAAGCACUUUCUUUUUGUCCUGUACAGGUGCAUUCACACAUUGUUCAGGGCUGAGUGUGGGAGGAUGUCCUGCUCUUAGCUGAACACAUCUCUUACGUGCAGGUCCCAUCACACCCACGGUGCCCUCAUCCAAAGCCCCCAAACUUUCAGUCAUAGCUUUUAAUCAGAGAAAACUGAAAGAGUGAUUCCCAUUCUGACAUGGAGAGACCACCAGAAAUACCCCAGAGCAAGGAGUAAUGCACCAGGAGCAUUCUGCAGAAAUGACAGCAGUCACAGAUAGCAGAAUUGCAUGAGGAGUUUGGGAUUAUAUCCCUGUUUUUUUCUCCUUUCUUCCUAUUUUAGUUUCUCUGCCUGUAAAAUAGGCAAAUAGCUUCUGACCCUACUGCUUUUCCAUGAGGCAAUUGCUCUCUGAAAAAAGAAAAAAAUCAGAAACCCUCCGAGGACACAAUUGGUGACAGUGUUCUGAGGUGGAUGCACUGCCAUUCUUGUGUUGUGCUUGGCUUAGACUUCCCAGCACAGACCCUGUUUUCUGUUGCAUGUAGCUUUAGAAAAAACAUCAUCACUUCAGCUGAAAACUGAUAUGCUGACUGUCUGUACCAAGAUGAUUAUUUUGAAAAUACCUGCCAAAACAAUUUGUCCAUUUCCAAGAACAAGGUUAUGGAAAAAUAAACAGUUUUGCUCAUACUAAAAAAAUGGAAACUUUUUCCUUUGAAAUGCUCUGCUGCCCUCAGGCUUUGAAGCACGGACUCAAAAUGUGACCUCUUUCAUUCAAAACGCGCCUUUCCUUUCUCUGAAAAUUUACACAAAUCUGGCUAACUUGUACAUAUUAGAUUAUUUUCUUUCUUGGAUGAGCACACUCUCAGUAAUGAUUUCUUUUCUUCUAAUAGAGAAAAAAAAAUAAAAAAGGAUCAUUAAAGACUGGUCUUGUCUGAGAACAGAAGCUUAAGAAUACUGUGGUAAAGCUAGAUUUCCACUUUAAUCCCCACCUCCAAAUUUUCCCAGUGAGCACAAGCCUUGGCACAGGAUCUGAGAGGUAGGAAUCCUAUCUCUUCUAAGCUCUAAAUGAUUUGAAGGUUGUAUCAAGAAGAAAGGUCUCUGCAUGAAUACGACAGGGAGAAAAUUCCACCCUGUGACAGAGAAGGCAAUGGAAGCAGCCAAGCAGCCUGGAGAGAAAAACUGGGACUGGUGUUUGGAGCAAGAUCCUGGGACUGAUUAGGUAAGGAAACACAAAGGUGUUAUGGAAAAAGCAGAGAGAAAGUGCUCAGCAGAGAAGCCUGGAGGGGAGAAAAGGGGCUGCCAUGUCCAGAAUGUCCAGAAUAGCUGGGCUGAAUCUCAGGUGAAACACAGUAAAAACUGUAAGUCAAAAUGUUUUAUUUCUGUAUUGUUAACUGAUGUACUUCAGCUUCUCUGUCAAGCAUUAAUGUUUUUUAUUUUGAAUAGAAUUUGUUUUCUGAUUCUGGAAAAUAAAGAAUUUAAUGACCUUCACAAUAAGUAUUUCUGAGCAAAUUCAGAACAUUUUAAAAUGAUUUUUGUGUGUGUGAGAGACAUCAAGCUAAGGGAACGUCGGCACAAGCUGUAACAUCAGGUACUCAAAUGUUAGGACAACGUCUAAGCUGAGAGUUCCUAAGUUCUGUCUCCCUACACUGAGGUACACAACCACAGAGAGUUCAUUCCACCAAUUUCCCAAAAUACAAAUGUAGCCCUGCAAGGUAUGCCUUCUCGGUGGGCAGGGCACAAGUUCGUAGUUUUUAUUCACUGUAUUUCCAAUUUGUCACAGAACUAGGUACUGUUCACAGACAAGGCAGACAAUUAUAAGGAGAGAAAGCAGGGCCUUGUGGCAAUGUGACAGCUGAAUUUUGUUUGUAGAAUCUGAAUCCACUCCCCUUUCACCUCAAAGCUUCUAUAAUGUGAAGAAAGUCACCACAAGAUGUAAUAAUUAGCAGAGAUUUUUGUGUUAUGGGAGCCCAUCAUGAAAUUCUGGAGUUGGAUUUACAGAAGAAAAUUCCUAUGACAAAAUCCAUGGGACUGUACAUCGACAAUGCCAAGGAAUGCAGAAUGUCAAACAGGCUGAAAAAAACAAGUAACCAGCAUCUCUAAUUGGAUACUCAAAAAUAGCGGGCACUUCUGACUUUAAUCUCAUUUAGUUGGAGCACAGAUUUAUUAACAAGGAUAAGACUCUCACUGCUUCAAUUUUUUGUUGUAAAGGAUGUUUGCCAAACACCCAGACACUAUUCAUCUUGUGGCUGUGAGAGGAACAGCAGAAAAAUGUGCUGGGUUCAAAUUGGGAUUUCUGUGCCCUAAACAAAACCUACAGAGUCCCACACAGAUAAAUUCCACAGCAGAAACUAGCUCCUGUUAGCCCUGUUCCACGUACUACUCUGAAUGACAAAGGGGUGCUCACAAAAAUAUCAAGCAGAAAAGUCCCACACCUUUUCAAAUGAUAUUCUUGUAGGUUGUACGUGAAUGGAUGAAACAAAGUUUUUGUUUUGUUUUGUUUUGUUAUUUUUGAAAAGGGAGGAAGCGAGGAAGAAAAAAGCAGAGGAACAAGCCCAUGAUGUCAGAAAACAUGGAAAAUAUCAGUUUUGGGCAUUCAGCCCAGCAACUUCUCUUUGGUUACUGCAAGAUCUCUUUUCCUUUGCAUUUUUUUUUUUAACAUCCUUUCAGUCGCUUCAGAACAAACAUUUUUUCCAAUGACAAAUUUUGAAUUUUAAGGAAAGCUUCCCAGUAUUUCCCAGAAAAUUCUUGAUCAUCUCCAGGUAUGUGAAGGUGCCGUUAGGAGCUGCAUGAUAACACAUCUUUGCAAGGGAUUGUAACUGAGUGGUGUGAUCAGCUCUCAUUCUGUCAGUUCCUACUGCUUCCUGCUGGCUUUAAAUGCUUAUAGACUCUGUAAUUUGCUUUUAAUUUGAGUGUGUGUGUAUGUGUAAAAUACUAUAUGACCACAUGACCAUGCAAGAUUUAUCUUCUACCUAAUUUAUUGCUGUUCUAUUUCUUCCAUUAAAGCAUAAGUUUUUACAUCCAUUCAUUGAUUUUACAUUCCAUAGAAUCACAGAAUAUCCUGAAUUGAAAGGGACCCACAAGGAUCAUUGUGUCCAACUUGUGGCUCCGUACAGAACCAGCCAAAAUCCAAACCCUAUGUCUGAGACCAUUAUCCAAUCGCUCCUUGAAGUCCAUCAGCUCGAGACCAUGCCCACUGCCCCCACUGCCCACUUUGGUUUUUUUUGCUCUUAUAGCAUGUAUUUAAUUGCUUGAUUUUUAAUUGCUUAUAUAUUAUUUAUUUUAGCAUUGACAGCUAUAUGUAGGGAACUGGAGUAAAGUCUCCAAAGUUUUCAGGUGGAUGGAGGAACCAUUAACCCAGACUGCUCUACAACAAGCUGGAUUUGCACAAGCAAGGGGCAAAAAAAAAAAAAAAAAAAAGAAAAAUUUAAAGUUCUGUUUUCUGUGUUACAGAAAAGUUCCAGAAUCACUCUCCUUCUUAAUGUAAAGACAGUAGCAUGAUCACCAGGCAUGUGGUCCUGACCUCAGACCGAGGAUCCUUGGCCUAGAGUCAGGCAGUCCCUGCAGUCACUGAAACAGCCAAGUUAACUGUCUGUUUAGCCAUGGAUUAAAAUUCAUCCACUGAUCCAAGACAAUGCUCACGUGAUAUCCUAAAAGAAGAGUCGUUUGGAAACAGAGCUGACUGCAGCAUGUGUGAAAGUACACAUCAGCCAGACACAAAGAUGAAGUCUGCUUCCAACCUGAAGCUCACAGCCUCUAAAUCCAGCUGAAAGCUCUUCUCCUUAAGUCACAGGCUUUGCAGACCAGUAUGAGAAACUGUAAGACCCUCAACAAAACCAAUGGCUGGCUCAACUCUAGAACAGUCCCUGGAAACCAGUGUGGAUGCAGCAAGAACCGGAAAGACUGUAUUAUGCCUUAAGAGAUGAGAUGUGCACCCUCAGUAAAGUAACACACCCAAGUAACAAGGCUAAUCAGCAAAGAUUUUGUACUAUUUCCAUAAUGAAAGUCCACUGUUGUGAAGAAUUUUCCUCCUCAAAGCCCAAGGCUAAA